AUGUCAUUUACGACAUACCAUAGUCGGCGCGAACAACAAUAUGGAGAGGGAAAUCCGAAAGGAGAAAGGGUCGCUUCGUUUCAAAGCGAUGUGAACAGCAGUACGAGUCCUCCGAAAAUGACAACUGAGAGAUGAGGAACGAUGGGGAAAAAUUCAAACAAAAUUAUCGCCAACACAAUUAUUUUAGAACUGCAACUAACGAGCGAAAUGAGUCAGAGGAAAUUCCAGUAGAGAAAAUCGAGAUAGUUUACAGCAAAAAUGUGAUAAUUGCCACAUUAUCCAGAUAGCUGCAGCAUGAUGAGAAGAUCGCUGGCACUGUUUUGUCUAAAGAUAUUUCCAAUUUCUUCCUCUGCAUCUGAAAUGACAGUCAUAACUGUGAAAGGUGGUCAAUGUUCCGCAGAAGCAAACCUGUUCAAUCCAGCAAAUUUCCUCUGCAUUAGAGUACUUCGUUGACUUCAUUGACAAGGAAAUUGAGCCAUCCUUACUGGAUGCAUCAAGUCUUAUUGGGCAUAGCAUCAAGUCUUAGACAGUCAUGUUUUAGUCAACACCAUGUAAGCAGUUGGAAAGAUGGAUCCUUUAAAAAAUAUGUUGCAGGAUUUGUUGAUACAAAGCUUUUGUUGAGGUCGCAAUUCCCAAGGUUGCCAUCCUAUACCCAACAGACUUUAGUUUCAUCUUCUUACAUUGUAACUAUGCUGCUCAUGAUGCUUUACAAGAUGUCAUAUCCCUUCAAAGACUUGAUCAGUCAAUUUUGAUUCACAGAAUAGUUAGAAGGCAUCGCUCUAUUUGCUAAGUGCAACUUUUUCACAUGAACAUUUGUCAAUGAAGAGAAUUACGAAGUGUAUGGAUAGAAAAAUAGCUGCCAAUGACGUGAACUAUGCAGUUCUAAAGCUAGCAUUUAGUAGAGGAAGAGGGCACACAACAAGUUUUGUCAAAAGAGUGUGGAAGUGGACCAAGAGUAACAAAGUCAUCAAAGAUCAGUAUAUUCGCUUGCAGGAACAUCUUGCUUUACUCUCGACACUAACGGAAGACCCACUCGUUGCUCUGCAACGUGCUCUGCUCUAGUUAUAUCUUGCUACUUUACUACUGACUUUCAAAUUUCAUUAGGUCAUAGUAAAUGCAUUCCUAAAGCAUUCUAAAUAAUAAAAACAGAAAAAUAGAAAUUGACGAAAUCAUUUCCAUAAGAUUAACAUGGUACAUUACCGUUCUGAUGCAAUCAACAGAAAAAAUAUUAUUUAACGUUGGAUGCUGAUAUUGAAUGGCAUUGUUUAUUUGCAACUGAAAUCAUACAAUAGUUUUGUGCAAUCUAGAUACCUAAAUCUUAUUACCUAAGUUACGCUAUAAUUGUUACUAUACAUGCUUGUUUCUAAAUUAUUUUUGUUAAAGCCUCUAUCAGGGUCAGAAUAAAUCUAGUUGUCUG
rnacentral:sRNA from 1 species